AUAACAAGACAAUGACACCAAGUGAUCAGGAACUGGAUCUUUCAGGGCUGGGCCAGGUGUCUGCAAUCUGCUGAUGAGCUGGAGGACUACUUAAGAUCCUGUCUCAGACAUUCUUGCUGCCGGAGUAUUAGCUCUACAUCAGUGAUCUGCCUAAAGCUUCUAGCUUUUUGUAUGCUUCAUCAGCUCAAGUACCUGCCUGCCUGCCCGCUUGCCCACCUGCUUCAACUCUCACUAGCCAUUGUCCCUCACCUCACGGAUUUCCACCAACUCUUGCCUUUGUUUGGACCACGUGAAGACUACAAUGAAGACUUCCCCCUUACGCCACGCUCUGGAGAGCGGUUUGGCUUCGCUCACCCCCUCCCUGCACAUUCUAAACUUGUUAAUAAACU